rnacentral:rRNA from 1 species
AGGAAAUAGAUACCCCGGUAGUCCACGCCCUAAACGAUGUCAACUAGUUGUUGGGGGAGUAAAAUCCCUUAGUAACGCAGCUAAACGCGUGAAAGUUGACCGCCUGGGGAGUACGGUCGCAAGAUUAAAACUCAAAGGAAUUGACGGGGCCCGCACAAGCGGUGGAUUAUGUGGAUUAAUUCGAUGCAACGCGAAAAACCUUACCUGGCCUUGACAUGCCACUAACGAAGCAGAGAUGCAUUAGGUGCCCGAAAGGGAAAGUGGACACAGGUGCUGCAUGGCUGUCGUCAGCUCGUGUCGUGAGAUGUUGGGUUAAGUCCCGCAACGAGCGCAACCCUUGCCAAUAAUUGCCAUCAUUCAGUUGGGCACUUUAUUGGGACUGCCGGUGACAAACCGGAGGAAGGUGGGGAUGACGUCAAGUCCUCAUGGCCCUUAUGGCCAGGGCUUCACACGUAAUACAAUGGUCGGUACAGAGGGUUGCCAACCCGCGAGGGGGUAGCCAAUCCCAGAAAGCCGAUCGUAGUCCGGAUUGUAGUCUGCAACUCGACUAC